rnacentral:lncRNA from 1 species
CUUUUUUCAGGGGGAUGGGGUGAGGUGGCACCUACCAUGCAGUGCUCAAUUUGAAGACUUAAAUUCCUAAAUAAAUUUGUAGGAAUUGUCAAGGAUCCUGGCCUGGAAAAUAGUGCCAAACCUAUUCAUCAAAGGGGCAGCGUUCUAGGAUACUAAAGUUAGCACGUAUCAUCUUGUGUGAAAAAAUCCAGCCCAAUACAGAAUUUGAGAAAACUGUCUGUAUUUUAAUUUAUUUCAAUUGGGAGUCUUAACAAGCUGAAGCCAAAGGUUUGAAACACAGAUAAGAAGACAGAGGAUGUUUAUGCCUGGGGAAAGCAGAGGUACUGGCACCACCAGUUGGUCACAUACUGGGGAAGAAGAGGAUUUCUUGCUCCACCAGAAAAUUUUCUGAGCUUCUAUGUCC